ACUACCCAAAAGACUGAAGUAGAGAAGGAUUGACUACACCUUUCAGGUGAAAUCUAAGGAUUUUUAGAGGAAGUGUUAGGGAAAAAAUCCUUUUGGAAUAGCUUUUGGAGGGUGCUUAAUUUAUAAGCGUGUGGCAGUUGUCACGUGCCUAUCUUUAUAAUUGGAUUCGGGGCGUGACAACAACUCUAGACAUAAAUUUCCAAGAUUGAAGCUCAAAAGCUCUCCUAUGCUUAACAAAGUAGCAACAGUGUACACGCCUACAUUAUUUGAUUUAUUUCAAACAGAAGUUGAAGAGGUAAUGACACUUUCCAUCCUAGAACGCACGCCUAUGUUAUUUGAUUUAUUUCAAACAGAAGUUGAAGAGAUAAUGACACUUUCCAUCCUAGAACGCAAUGUGAGUCAAACAUAUAGUUAUGUGGUUGGAGUUUUCAAUCAAUAUGGAAAAUAUGAAGUCAUGUGGAAUCCAUUAGAUGAGACUCUAUCUUGUAGUUGCAGAAAGCUUGAGUCAUUUGGUAUUUUAUGUAGGCAUGGUUUGAAAGUUCUUGAUGUAUUGAAUAUUAAGUUGAUUCCUAAUAGAUAUAUCAUGAAGAGGUGGAGAAGAGAUGCAAAAUAUGGAGGCGGAAAAAAUUGCACAACACAUAACAUUAAGCCGAAUACUCGACUGGAAUAUGUAGAUUCGCAUCGAGAUUUAUGUCCAAAAUAUAUUCAAUUGGUGAAUGAGGCAUGUGAAACUAAUGAA